CUACACAUGCAGUCGAACGGACCCUUCGGGGUUAGUGGCGGACGGGUGAGUAACACGUGGGAACGUGCCUUUUGGUUCGGAAUAGCUCCUGGAAACGGGUGGUAAUGCCGAAUGUGCCCUUCGGGGGAAAGAUUUAUCGCCAUUAGAGCGGCCCGCGUCUGAUUAGCUAGUUGGUGAGGUAAAGGCUCACCAAGGCGACGAUCAGUAGCUGGUCUGAGAGGAUGACCAGCCACAUUGGGACUGAGACACGGCCCAAACUCCUACGGGAGGCAGCAGUGGGGAAUCUUGCGCAAUGGGCGAAAGCCUGACGCAGCCAUGCCGCGUGAAUGAUGAAGGUCUUAGGAUUGUAAAAUUCUUUCACCGGGGACGAUAAUGACGGUACCCGGAGAAGAAGCCCCGGCUAACUUCGUGCCAGCAGCCGCGGUAAUACGAAGGGGGCUAGCGUUGCUCGGAAUUACUGGGCGUAAAGGGAGCGUAGGCGGACAUUUAAGUCAGGGGUGAAAUCCCAGAGCUCAACUCUGGAACUGCCUUUGAUACUGGAUGUCUUGAGUGUGAGAGAGGUAUGUGGAACUCCGAGUGUAGAGGUGAAAUUCGUAGAUAUUCGGAAGAACACCAGUGGCGAAGGCGACAUACUGGCUCAUUACUGACGCUGAGGCUCGAAAGCGUGGGGAGCAAACAGGAUUAGAUACCCUGGUAGUCCACGCCGUAAACGAUGAUUGCUAGUUGUCGGGAUGUUUACAUCUCGGUGACGCAGCU
rnacentral:rRNA from 2 species